rnacentral:tRNA from 1 species
GCAUCUGUAGCUCAGCGGAUAGAGCACCUGUCUUCGGAACAGGGUGUCGGGGGUUCGAGUCCCUCCAGAUGCA